AUUAGAGUGCUUAAGCAGGCUUUACGCCUGAAUAAUGUUGCAUGGAAUAAUAGAAUAGGACCUCGGUUCUAUUUUGUUGGUUUUGUAGAGCAUUGAGGUAAUGAUUAAUAGGGACAGACGGGGGCAUUCGUAUUGCGGUGUUAGAGGUGAAAUUCUUGGAUCGCCGCAAGACGAACAACUGCGAAAGCAUUUGCCAAGAAUGUUUUCAUUAAUCAAGAACGAAAGUUGGAGGUUCGAAGACGAUUAGAUACCGUCCUAGUUCCAACCAUAAACGAUGCCAACUAGCGAUUAGCUGCUGUUAUUUAUACGACACAGCUAGCAGCUUCCGGGAAACCAAAGUUUUUGGGUUCCGGGGGAAGUAUGGUUGCAAAGCUGAAACUUAAAGGAAUUGACGGAAGGGCACCACCAGGAGUGGAGCCUGCGGCUUAAUUUGAC
rnacentral:rRNA from 1 species